CUUGCUUGUUGUAUCAGGCUGGUGGUAUGGGGUCAUGACAGCAAUAGGAUGCUGCAGGCACCACCUCCCAAGAGGGACAGUAGCCAGCUGGUGGAUACAGAGCCUGGUGGUACAUUGGUGAUCUGCGCAGGACAAGGGCAUCAUCAGGAGGAAAAAUCCUGAUGUGGAUCCUGUCAAUGGCUCCAGCAACACAGCGAAUGGUUCAUGGCCAGCAAGGCCAGCAAAACCUCCUGAAUAACUUUGUGGAGGAUGGUCAUCAUCUCCUCCACAGCGUUGUGAACAGUCCUACAAACCGUCGCAUGCUGAAGUUUUCUGAAAUUACGCUGCCGAUGAACUGUAACCAGCACUUUAGGUUCAUGGCUCCAUCCAUGGGCUGGCAGCGUCUGGAGCAGCAUGUUGCUGCUUAGGGCUGGUUAAAAAAAUGACAGUUUCUUUAUUUAAAUAGAUUCUCAUUUUUAUGAAACAAUAUUGAUUCUUAAAUUUGAAGAAUUGAUUAGUCUAGCCUGUUUUCAGAUAAUGAUGGGGACAUUGUAGUGCACCUCCCGUCCAAUAAAUUGCAAUAAGCUUUAUGUUUUGUUACUUUAUUACAGUAUUCAAACAAUAGAUGCCGUCUUGAUGUUGUUUAAUGUGGAGUGACAUAUCACUGUAAACUGAUCGUCUCCUCCGCUUUAAUAGUGGUUACAGCAUGAAAUAAACAUGAAUGAACAU